UCUGCCGCAGGGGCGUCUCCUGCCCAAGCGUCUGCAGCCCUCUUUUCAUGCGAACCUGCAUAGCUGGUGGACGCUACCACUGUGGCCGCGUCAAUAGUAGACGCCUCCAUCCCAGCCACGCUCUCCGCUUCCUCUUCGUCCAUGAUCAUCUUGCUCCGGUCUACUUCACCGCCUGCACUUGCAACUCUGAUAGUGAUGACAGUGAUCUAAAGAAAGGAAAGACGCUUGAUUCAGCAAACUGUAAGGGAGCACGGCGAAGCGUCGUCAGGGGAGAGGGAGUGGGAAGUGAAAGAUGAUAGAGAAAGAAGGAGGAUAUGGAGACUCCACUAUGCGUGACAGGUCGCAGUCCUCGGUAAUGUUGCCAGCGUUGUAGCGGGCGCAUAAAGGGUGUCUAUUCCCGUGGAACGUUUAAACUCAAGCAAGCUUCCCAGCGCAGGGAGCUGGGGACACACCGGGAACAGCAGGUGACAUGGCGCGGUCCUUGGCGUACAGCCGAGCCGCAGUCCAGGUGCAACCAGUCCCCAAGCACAGGAGUGUGGAACGGUCUGUUCUGGAGAGGCCGUUCUUUGGAAGCUGCUUGAGGGCCCUGCCAUUAGCCACUCGGGGGUCCGGGUGAAUGGAGGUUGUGGCUCCUGGACGGAAGAUGCCCGCCGCUGCUGAAGAAGGGAAUCGUGAAGCUACGUGCGCGGCUGCAGCCACGGGACAUCGGACUCAGCAGAUCGCCGUGCAAAGAGUGCGGUUAGUAGCAACACAACCGCAGCUCGCCUGUCGAUGCCGGGAGGAUAGUUGAGAUUGUUGUCGUGAAAACGACGCACAGAGACUUCGUGGUGGACUAUGCAAUGCGUGGUGCCGAAAAUGGGGCUUUUGUGGAGCCACACCGCCAGCUUACGUUGUGACUGUGCUGCGUGUGCCACGCAUAUCUGUGACCUUUCUGUGGGGCUGCUUGUUUUUUGUGAUCACGCAGCUGUUUGCAUUUUAGUUGACCUAAAAUGUGCGAAUGUGCUUUACAUCGCCAUGGUUUUGAGUGGCAUUAUUUUGUAAGGCUUUCAUAGUUUAUUUAGUUUGCCUCUAUAAGGUUUCUGAGAUCAGACGUGUUGAAAUAACUACAUGAGUUUCUGAAUAAAUUUCGGCUUGAACUCCGCA